rnacentral:rRNA from 1 species
UGGGGAAUAUUGGACAAUGGGCGCAAGCCUGAUCCAGCCAUGCCGCGUGAGUGAUGAAGGCCCUAGGGUUGUAAAGCUCUUUCACCGGUGAAGAUAAUGACGGUAACCGGAGAAGAAGCCCCGGCUAACUUCGUGCCAGCAGCCGCGGUAAUACGAAGGGGGCUAGCGUUGUUCGGAUUUACUGGGCGUAAAGCGCACGUAGGCGGACUAUUAAGUCAGGGGUGAAAUCCCGGGGCUCAACCCCGGAACUGCCUUUGAUACUGGUAGUCUUGAGUUCGAGGGAGGUGAGUGGAAUUCCGGGUGUAGAGGUGAAAUUCGUAGAUAUUCGGAGGAACACCAGUGGCGAAGGCGGCUCACUGGCUCUAUACUGACGCUGAGGUGCGAAAGCGUGGGGAGCAAACAGG